rnacentral:misc_RNA from 1 species
UCCCCAAAUUAUUUACAAAAAAGAAUUAAUUUGGUAAAAUAGUAUUAAUAUAAAUAUAAACAAACGUACGAAAAUUGUAAAAAUGUUGUAAAGUAAUUACUCACUUAAUCUGAUUUGGUUCGGUCACGUAGUCAAGCAUUCACUCCCAAUCCCUUACUUAAAAGCGAAAUUACAACCGCAGAAGAGUCCAUUCUGCACCGGCAAGGCAACGAAUCCAAUUGGAAGAAGG